rnacentral:rRNA from 1 species
AUUGAACGCUGGCGGCAGGCCUAACACAUGCAAGUCGAACGAGUGGCGGACGGGUGAGUAAUGUCUGGGAAACUGCCUGAUCGAGGGGGAUAACUACUGGAACCGGUAGCUAAUACCGCAUACCAUCAGAUGUGCCCAGAUGGGAUUAGCUAUUAGGUGGGGUAACGGCUCACCUAGGCGACGAUCCCUAGCUGGUCUGAGAGGAUGACCAGCCACACGGGAACUGAGACACGGUCCAGACUCCGACGGGAGGCAGGAGUGGGGAAUAUUGCACAAUGGGCGCAAGCCUGAUGCAGCCAUGCCGCGUGUAUGAAGAAGGCCUUCGGGUUGUAAAGUACUUUCAGCGGGGAGGCGGUACCCGCAGAAGAAGCACCGGCUAACUCCGUGCCAGCAGCCGCGGUAAUAC